rnacentral:rRNA from 1 species
AGUCAAUAGAUACCCGGGUAGUCCACGCCGUAAACGAUGGAUGCUAGCUGUUGGGGGCACUCCUCCGGUAGCGUAGCUAAACGCGUUAAGCAUCCCACCUGGGGAGUACGGUCGCAAGAUUAAAACUCAAAGGAAUUGACGGGGACCCGCACAAGCGGUGGAGCAUGUGGUUUAAUUCGAGGCAACGCGAAGAACCUUACCAGGCCUUGACAUGUCCAGUAUGAUCGACAGAGAUGUCUUUCUUCAGUUUGGCUGGCUGGAACACAGGUGCUGCAUGGCUGUCGUCAGCUCGUGUCGUGAGAUGUUGGGUUUAAGUCCCGCAACGAGCGCAACCCUCGUCCUUAAUUGCCAUCAUUUAGUUGGGAACUUUAAGGAAACUGCCAGCGUCAAGCUGGAGGAAGGUGGGGAUGACGUCAAGUCCUCAUGGCCCUUACGGCCUGGGCUACACACGUGCUACAAUGGCAGUGACAAUGGGCUGCUACUCUGCAAGGAGAUGCUAACCCCGUAAAAA